rnacentral:tRNA from 1 species
GCGGAUGUGGCGGAACUAGGCAGACGCGCGGCGUUCAGGUCGCCGUGGGGGCAACCCCGUGGAGGUUCGAUUCCUCUCAUCCGCA